rnacentral:pre_miRNA from 1 species
UUUUAUGGAUGACCAAAGAAAGUGGCUUCUUGAGACAGACUCUACUGCUGGUGAAGAUGCUGUGGA